GUUGAGGGUAGGGAGGGGAGUUCCUGUUGUUCCUACUCCUGCUCAGUGAUUCCUGCCCAUGGUCCUCAUAAGGUUCAUGGGGGCUGUUGUUGCAAGAUCAUGGUGGGUCCCUGAAGCCCCUCUACUGACCUUUGACACUAAACUCUUCUUUUACUCCUGACAAUUCGCCCAAACAACACAGAAGGCAGAGAACUCUUGCAUCUAUUUGCCCUUUCAGUCUGGUUUAGCAACCGCCGUGCAAGAUGGAGGAAGCAAGCUGGGGCCAAUCAACUGAUGGCUUUCAACCAUCUCAUUCCCGGGGGGUUCCCUCCCACUGCCAUGCCGACCUUGCCAACGUACCAGCUGUCGGAGACCUCUUACCAGCCCACAUCUAUUCCACAAGCUGUGUCAGAUCCCAGCAGCACCGUUCACAGACCUCAACCGCUUCCUCCAAGCACUGUACACCAAAGCACGAUUCCUUCCAACCCAGACAGCAGCUCUGCCUACUGCCUCCCCAGCACCAGGCAUGGAUUUUCCAGCUAUACAGACAGCUUUGUGCCUCCGUCGGGGCCCUCCAACCCCAUGAACCCCACCAUUGGCAAUGGCCUCUCACCUCAGGUAAUGGGACUCCUGACCAACCACGGUGGGGUACCUCAUCAGCCCCAGACUGAUUACGCGCUCUCCCCUCUCACCGGGGGUCUGGAACCUACCACCACGGUGUCGGCCAGCUGCAGUCAGAGACUAGACCAUAUGAAGAGCUUGGACAGUCUGCCAACAUCUCAGUCCUACUGUCCACCCACCUAUAGCACCACAGGCUACAGUAUGGACCCUGUCACAGGCUAC
rnacentral:lncRNA from 1 species